rnacentral:miRNA from 1 species
GUGGGUUGGCCAAAAAGUUUGUUCAGGUUUUCAUCUUACAGGAAAACCCUAACAAACUUUUUGGCCAACUCAA